rnacentral:rRNA from 1 species
UCCCCUAGGUGAACCUGCGGAAGGAUCAUU